UACGGAGGAUCCGAGCGUUAUCCGGAUUUAUUGGGUUUAAAGGGUGCGCAGGCGGGGGAUUAAGUCGGCGGUGAAAUUUUGCAGCUCAACUGUAAAAGUGCCUUCGAAACUGGUUUCCUUGAGUGUAGAUGAAGUAGGCGGAAUUUGUGGUGUAGCGGUGAAAUGCAUAGAUAUCACGAGGAACUCCGAUUGCGCAGGCAGCUUACUAAACUACUACUGACGCUCAGGCACGAAGGCGUGGGGAUCAAACAGGAUUAGAUACCCGUGUAGU
rnacentral:rRNA from 1 species